UCUCAGUUCGGACUGCAGUCUGCAACUCGACUGCACGAAGCUGGAAUCGCUAGUAAUCGCGGAUCAGCACGCCGCGGUGAAUACGUUCCCGGGCCUUGUACACACCGCCCGUCACACCAUGGAAGUCUGCAAUGCCCGAAGCCGGUGGCCUAACCACUUAUGUGGAAGGAGCCGUCUAAGGCAGGGCAGAUGACUGGGGUGAAGUCGUAACAAGGUAAC
rnacentral:rRNA from 1 species